AUACGUAGGUGGCAAGCGUUGUCCGGAAUUAUUGGGCGUAAAGCGCAUGUAGGCGGUGCCUUAAGUCUGUCGUGAAACUGCGGGGCCUAACCCCGUAUGGCGAUGGAAAAUGUGGCACUUGAGUGCAGGAGAGGAAAGGGGAACUCCCAGUGUAGCGGUGAAAUGCGUAGAUAUUGGGAAGAACACCGGUGGCGAAGGCGCCUUUCUGGACUGUGUCUGACGCUGAGAUGCGAAAGCCAGGGUAGCGAACGGGAUUAGAUACCCCGGUAGUCCUGGCCGUAAACGAUGGGUACUAGGUGUGGGAGGUAUCGACCCCUUCCGUGCCGGAGUUAACGCAAUAAGUACCCCGCCUGGGGAGUACGGCCGCAAGGCUUAAACUCAAAUGAAUUGACGGGG
rnacentral:rRNA from 1 species